UACAUGGGGUGCAAACGUUGCUCGGAAUUAUUGGGCGUAAAGCGCGCGUAGGCGGUUACUUAAGUCGGAUGUGAAAGCCCUCGGCUUAACUGAGGAAGUGCACCCGAAACUGAGUAGCUAGAGUACGAAAGAGGGUCGCGGAAUUCCCGGUGUAGAGGUGAAAUUCGUAGAUAUCGGGAGGAACACCGGUGGCGAAGGCGGCGACCUGGGUCGAGACUGACGCUGAGGCGCGAAAGCGUGGGGAGCAACAGG
rnacentral:rRNA from 1 species